GAUGAACGCUGGCGGCGUGCCUAAUACAUGCAAGUCGAGCGAACGGACGAGAAGCUUGCUUCUCUGAUGUUAGCGGCGGACGGGUGAGUAACACGUGGAUAACCUACCUAUAAGACUGGGAUAACUUCGGGAAACCGGAGCUAAUACCGGAUAAUAUUUUGAACCGCAUGGUUCAAAAGUGAAAGACGGUCUUGCUGUCACUUAUAGAUGGAUCCGCGCUGCAUUAGCUAGUUGGUAAGGUAACGGCUUACCAAGGCAACGAUGCAUAGCCGACCUGAGAGGGUGAUCGGCCACACUGGAACUGAGACACGGUCCAGACUCCUACGGGAGGCAGCAGUAGGGAAUCUUCCGCAAUGGGCGAAAGCCUGACGGAGCAACGCCGCGUGAGUGAUGAAGGUCUUCGGAUCGUAAAACUCUGUUAUUAGGGAAGAACAUAUGUGUAAGUAACUGUGCACAUCUUGACGGUACCUAAUCAGAAAGCCACGGCUAACUACGUGCCAGCAGCCGCGGUAAUACGUAGGUGGCAAGCGUUAUCCGGAAUUAUUGGGCGUAAAGCGCGCGUAGGCGGUUUUUUAAGUCUGAUGUGAAAGCCCACGGCUCAACCGUGGAGGGUCAUUGGAAACUGGAAAACUUGAGUGCAGAAGAGGAAAGUGGAAUUCCAUGUGUAGCGGUGAAAUGCGCAGAGAUAUGGAGGAACACCAGUGGCGAAGGCGACUUUCUGGUCUGUAACUGACGCUGAUGUGCGAAAGCGUGGGGAUCAAACAGGAUUAGAUACCCUGGUAGUCCACGCCGUAAACGAUGAGUGCUAAGUGUUAGGGGGUUUCCGCCCCUUAGCGCUGCAGCUAACGCAUUAAGCACUCCGCCUGGGGAGUACGACCGCAAGGUUGAAACUCAAAGGAAUUGACGGGGACCCGCACAAGCGGUGGAGCAUGUGGUUUAAUUCGAAGCAACGCGAAGAACCUUACCAAAUCUUGACAUCCUUUGACAACUCUAGAGAUAGAGCUUUCCCCUUCGGGGGACAAAGUGACAGGUGGUGCAUGGUUGUCGUCAGCUCGUGUCGUGAGAUGUUGGGUUAAGUCCCGCAACGAGCGCAACCCUUAAGCUUAGUUGCCAUCAUUAAGUUGGGCACUCUAAGUUGACUGCCGGUGACAAACCGGAGGAAGGUGGGGAUGACGUCAAAUCAUCAUGCCCCUUAUGAUUUGGGCUACACACGUGCUACAAUGGACAAUACAAAGGGCAGCGAAACCGCGAGGUCAAGCAAAUCCCAUAAAGUUGUUCUCAGUUCGGAUUGUAGUCUGCAACUCGACUACAUGAAGCUGGAAUCGCUAGUAAUCGUAGAUCAGCAUGCUACGGUGAAUACGUUCCCGGGUCU
rnacentral:rRNA from 1 species